rnacentral:rRNA from 1 species
GACGUAGGGGGCGAGCGUUGUCCGGAUUUAUUGGGCGUAAAGAGCGCGUAGGCGGCCCGGAAAGUCGGAUGUGAAAACCCGGAGCUCAACUCCGGGCCUGCAGUCGAUACGGGCGGACUUGAGUGUUGCAGGGGAGACUGGAAUUCCUGGUGUAGCGGUGAAAUGCGCAGAUAUCAGGAGGAACACCGGUGGCGAAGGCGGGUCUCUGGGCAACUACUGACGCUGAGGAGCGAAAGCGUGGGGAGCGAACAGG